UGAAUACGAGACGCUAAGGCGUCGAAGUAGUGUAUGUCAUACUUCCAAGAAAAGCUUGCACUGUCAUAGAUAAAAAACGCCUGUACCAUAACCGACACAGGUGGGUAGGUAGAGUAUACUAAGGGGCGCGAGAUAACUCUCUCUAAGGAACUCGGCAAAAUAACUCCGUAACUUCGGGAGAAGGAGUGCCUUAUUCGUAAGGUUGCAAUAACAAGAUCCAAGCAACUGUUUAUCAAAAACACAGGUCUCCGCUAAGUCGUAAGACGAUGUAUGGGGGCUGACGCCUGCCCAGUGCCAGAAGGUUAAAGAAGUUGGUUAGCAAUUGCGAAGCUGAUAACUGAAGUCCUGGUGAACGGCGGCCGUAACAAUAACGGUCCUAAGGUAGCGAAUUUCCUUGUCGGGUAAGUUCCGACCCGCACGAAAGGCGUAAUGAUUUGGAUACUGUCUCGGAGAGGGGCUCGGUGAAAUAGACUUGUCUGUGAAGAUGCGGACUACCUGCACCAGGACAGAAAGACCCUAUGAAGCUUUACUGUAACUUGAAAUUGGACUUUAUUCGCGCAGUAUAGGUGGGAGGCGUUGAUUAUAAUCUUGUGGGAUUAUUGGAGCCAUCAGUGAGAUACCACUCUUGUAUGUUAGAUUUCUAACUUUGAAUCAUUAUCUGGUCAAAGAACAGUUUCAGGCGGGCAGUUUGACUGGGGCGGUCGCCUCCUAAACGGUAACGGAGGCGUACAAAGGUUUCCUCUGAACGGUUAGAAAUCGUAUCUAGAGUGUAAAGGCAUAAGGAAGCUUGACUGUGAGACCUACAAGUCGAGCAGGGACGAAAGUCGGUCUUAGUGAUCUGACGGUACUGAGUGGAAAGGCCGUCACUCAACGGAUAAAAGUUACUCUAGGAUAACAGGCUGAUCUCCCCCAAGAGUUCACAUCGACGGGGAGGUUUGGCACCUCGAUGUCGGCUCAUCGCAUCCUGGGGCGGUAGUACGUCCCAAGGGUUGGGCUGUUCGCCCAUGAAAGCGGUACGCGAGCUGGGUUCAGAACGUCGUGAGACAGUUCGGUCCAUAUCCGGUGUAGGCGUUAGAAUAUUGAGAGGAGCCUUCUUUAGUACGAGAGGACCGAGAAGGACAUACCUCUGGUGUACCAGUUAUCGUGCCAACGGUAAACGCUGGGUAGCUAUGUAUGGAGUGGAUAACCGCUGAAAGCAUCUAAGUGGGAAGCCCACCUCAAGAUAAGUAUUCUCAU
rnacentral:rRNA from 1 species